GGAAGUAGUGCGACAAGAGCGUCUGCUAAUCCCUCACCAAGAACACCAGCUGACUUAAAUCAUGGACUCAGAGCAACAGCCAGCACCUCAUCAAGAACUGCCACCACUGUACAAACACCAGUCUCAUCAGAAAUGCAAAGAUCUUUUCCAGGCCUUUUCAGGGGAAAGAGGAGGUUUGCGAACACACUGCGAACAGUGCAUCGCAAAAUUCAAUGUUUUCAGUUAUAUCUCCUCCCUUCUCCUGCAACUAUGACUCCAAAAGGAGAAGAUGAGUUGAGGCUGUGCCAGGCAGGGCUAGGCUUGAGAAUGGUCUCAUUGCCAGAAGAUGCAACUCAUGAUCAGAUAUCAGACAUACUUAACCACGAGUACCCUAAAAUCCAGAGCCUGAAUGGCUCCUGGAUGUUUUACAAGUCUUCAGGGGGAAGUGGACGCAGGCGGCUGACAACUGUAAGCCCCCAGGUGGAAGGAUACACCACCUCACAACUGAAGAGGUCAUCCAACAAUGGAAAAAACACGUUGUACAUUUCCCCAUUACAGGGUGAAUUGGAUGUUACCCCCCUUGCCAAAAAUGCCUCAGAAUUUUCAAAAAUGCCAAAGGCAACCUGUGAAAAAUGCCAGGAGACGAUGCCAUUGCAUCUUUUGGCCCUACAUAUUGACAGUUGCACAGAAAAUGUUGACGACUGUGAAGACUGGCGUAGUGAGGUCCAGGUUCUUUCUGUCACAAAUUCACCACUUGAAGAGUCCAGAGAUGAGCAGGAUAGAAAGGAAUGCCCUAUAUGUUGUGGUUGCUUUCCAUCAGAUGACAUUGCUCUGCAUGCAAGCUUGUGUGGUGAAAGUCAACAGGAUACUUCUGACUACAAUUCAGACUUCUGUCCCACUUCUGGCCCCACUAGUAGUGUGCUGUGCGAGGGAAGCAUGCCUAUGGCUGAUAUAUCUAGUGAACAUGAUAUCCUCCAGAUGCUUGCAAAUCAAGUAGAUGAAAGCAAAGAUUUUAAGAUCUGCAUCACCCGGGAUGACCUUGUCCAAAGAGGCUUCAUUCAGUGGGCAAGACAAAAAAAGGGUUCCCCUGUCAAUAAACUCAAUGUGACUUUCAUAGGAGAAGCAGGAAUUGACACUGGUGCCUUAAGCAAAUAAUUUUUGACGGGUAAUGUACUGAAACUUCAGAGGUACAGACUCAGUUAUAGUUUAAGUUAUUUCAUUAAUUGUGUCGUCUUCGUUUGCUAUAUAUAGAUAUGAUGAAUGGCAUUGAGAGGCGACUGUUCGAGGGCAAUGGCAAGAAGGGAAAGAGUCCCAUCUACUCCAUAAGUGACCUAGAAAAUGGCUUCUACAGAACUGCAGGAGAAGUGUUCUCAGUCAGCCUCGCUCAGAGUGACCCAGCACCAUGCUUCUUUAGAAAUUGGUGUUUCCAGUUCCUUGCCACAGGAGACUUUGACACUUUGCAGUUGACCAAAGACGAUGUGGACGAUCAGGAAUAUUCUUCACUCUUAGAAAGGGUGAUUACACCUGCUGUAACUAGCUUUAGUAAGCAGUGAAAGAAACAGACAGAAUGCUUUCAUUGAUGUACAAUAUUCCAUUGCUAUCCUGUAAAGAAUUAGAAUUCAUUUUAGGUGGAGGCGGCAACUGAUCUGACAGAGUUGACAGAAGAAAUAGUGAGUUGUGGUUACACAGGGCUUGUAAAGUUGGACAGGAAGGACAGUAUUAUAAGCAAAUCAGAAAAGGCAUGAAGUUCUACAACCUUGUGGAGUUGAUUGGGAGGCACCCAGAUCUCUGCUCAAACCUGUUUGUCCCCAAAGACGAUGAUGACAGGGUAAAGAUGCUGGACAUUUAAUCAUCUCAUUUACUUGACUGAUUGGCAGAUGCUGAUUACAUCAUGAGCAUCAUAGUGCCUGAGCUGGGUGAGAGGGGAAGUCCAAGGCAUGCAAAAGAAAAUGCCAUUGUAAACUUCUUUCAGGACUUUCUGCAAGAGCUUGAAAUCACAGGUCAGGAUGAAGACCAAGCUGAGCCUUUGACCGAAGAAGUCAAAGACCCACAAAGUCAAAAUGAGGAAUGUCUGGAACCACAUAUCAACUUGAGCCUGUCUGUACCAUCAGUAUUGCAGUGGUUAACUGGACAAAGGCACAAGCCCCUUCUUCCCUCAGAAAGGGCGUCUUUUAAAAUCAAUGUCAAAUUUGAACACCACUGCAAAGAACUACAGCCAGAUCACCGUAUUUGUUAUCCACUUGUAAGUGCCUGCACAAAUACUAUAACCUUUCCUGUUGCACAUAUGAAUACAUACAGUGAGUUCAGAGAUAUAAUGACGGUAGCGAUCCGAAUGAGUAGAGGUUUCGGACGAGUUUAGGAGGCACGUUUUAAAGACCACACGUUUUAAUAGCCAUAGUGAGCCAGUAUUGUGAAUUGUGCGAUGCUCAGUUUCUGUUCCUCAGAUCAAUGCAACUUUUACUAUUGAAGAACUUCUACAUUUUUCUAUCCACAUAUGUAAUAAGUUAAUCUUAUUCAAGUUCAAGAAAUUCUGUGAAAUUUUCUGUGAAAUUUGAGUUCUUUACAAGUAUAUGCCAAUUAAAUGGUCAUCAAGAUCGACUUGAAAACAAAUUGUAUUGAUGUUGACAGUAUGUCAAACUUCAAUUUAAGUUUUGACUGGUAAUGCUUGAUUUGUUUCAGCAGUGUUAACAUGUGUAGUUCAGCAAGUGCAAAAAUAAAGAGCAUUCAUAGAA